UAUCGAUACUUAUCGUUUUGAUUGAAUGGGCUGCAUUUUAAAGUGAUAUCGAUAGUUAGUUAAUGCUGUAGCACACGUCGAUAUACAAAUACACACACACAAUCGUAAACGCAUUCCAGGAGGUGCACAUUUCAUUUACAAAAUAUUUUAUUGUUAUAAAUAAUAAAGUGGAUUGGGUAUAUUCAACAGCAGUAUUUAGGGAAAACCAUCAAACUCAAUUCUAAAACCAUAUCAAGAGCUGUGAUAUUUCAAUGCAUAUGCACCUAUGUACAUACUUAUCUGCAUUUACUACAGCUUCUUUUUCUAUAAAUAUGUUUAGAUACGCAUAAAUAUAAGUCUCUUGUGUACAGUAGCCUGAUACAUGAUUUCAGAAUAUGAUGUGCUCGCUUUUACUGCACGGAACAACAUAUUACUUUGCUUAAACUUUAUAGUGAUAACGUGGUGAAAUUAUAUAAAAUGUAGUUUUGCGAACCAUAGUAAAAUUGCCCGAGGUAGUGUCAUGCCAGCGAGUAACUUCGUCUGUUACCGCCUGUAAGCAGGGAUGCCACAUUGUAGAAAAUGGAUCAAAUAAAGAAUUGUUAUAGAUAUA